UUAAAACACUUUUUCCCAUAUGAUCACCAAAGCUGAGCAACACUGAGCCUGGUCAGUAUUGAGAAGAGUGACCACUUGGGAAUACCAGGUGCUGUAAG